rnacentral:lncRNA from 1 species
UUUAUGUUGUAUGGAGUGUAUAAUGAUGUGGGGAAAAGUAAUUUAAAGCAAUUUGACAAGCAACAUAACAAAACAUGAAAAAAAUGAAGGGGUAUGAAUACUUUCGCAAGGCACUGUAUACAGAUAUAUAUAAUAUAUAUAAAUAUAUAUAAAAUCUUUAAUGCUGUAAACUUUCAACUAAAGUGUUGUAUUAUAAAAGGAACAAUGGUGUAUAGUUAGAUGAAAAAUAUCAUGCCUGCUGUGUGUGUCCCUCUUUGAUGGGCAGUAUUUUCUAAAAUAUUUUGAUGACAUUUUUCUGAUACGGGAACAUGCAUCAACAGGUCUUUGAUUUUAAAAAAUAUCUCUGAGUCAAGAAACCAAUUGGAGCUUAUCUCUAUUUACAUGAAAAGUUGCAGUUGACACAUUCAUUUGACGUUUCUUCCACUACGUGCUUAUCCCUCGGAACAGUUGUGAAAAAAGGUGGGAUUUUGACAUUCAGUGACAUGUUUCAAACUUGCUGGCAUUUACUCUGUGCAAUUGCACAGAUAGCUUCUGCAGAUGCAGUGAUUUUCCAGUGAGCUGUUUUUUUCCUCCCAGUCAUUUUGUCAUGUUUCUCCACAGAUUAAGGCAGUGGACCAUAGCAGGACAAAUUGUGUCGGCAUGGUGGAGAAAGAUUCUGCAGGAGUCAUGUACUAUCAGAACUGCUGGACUGUCACCACAUACUGUACUCAGAUGGUCCGUUCAUCUAGCGCUCACCAGCAGGGGGCGACAGAGGCCCAACAAACCUCUUCUGACCCCACAGGUAUCAGGAAGUGAAAAUAGAGCCAAUGGAUUUCUGCCACCUCACACAUCGCACAUAUCACUAUAAUCAACACCAGCAAAGCUGCUCAGGAGACCCGUUAAAACAGAGGUAUGUUUAUAAUUUCAAGAAAUGCAGUAGAUUAUCAAACACAAACUGCUCUGUUGAUUCAGUGAAUCAUCAUUUCCCUGUAUAUCUGUUCAAAUCAGUUUUUUAAAAAUCAUUUUAAAUUAAAUAUUAGCUGUUUUAACUUUUGAGGCAUUGAUUUGACAGAACUGUGUGUAUACUAAUAAUGCAUUUAGGGAUUAUAGACCUAGUCGAUGAGUCUUGGCCUUCAAAAGUACUGUAAUUCUCCUCACAGGAUGCAAUAGUUCUUUUUCCCCCAACUUUUCUGUAUUUACAUAAGUGAAAUCUACAUCAAGGUUAACCGUCAAGCUCAUUUUGUGUUCAUCACAAGCAUUUAUUCACACUUAAUGAUCUCAGCCGAUUCAUCAGUCAUUCAGCUGGGCAUUUCUCCUCAAUGAAUAACAAAGUCUGCCGAUACAGUACGGAUGCACUUGAUCAAUCUCGCCACCCCCUCCUUCGUCAAAAGAAAUUAGCAAUAAAAAAAAUCAAAUUGCUAUCGAUUGGUCUUCAUUGAUUUCCUUUAGUCUUUUCCACUGCCUUCGUCAAAAGAAAUUAGCAAUAAAAAAAAUCAAAUUGCUAUCGAUUGGUCUUCAUUGAUUUCCUUUAGUCUUUUCCACUGCAAUUACUCCUUGCACAACAGCCAC